rnacentral:rRNA from 1 species
UGGGGAAUAUUGCACAAUGGGCGCAAGCCUGAUGCAGCCAUGCCGCGUGUAUGAAGAAGGCCUUCGGGUUGUAAAGUACUUUCAGCGAGGAGGAAGGCGUUGUGGUUAAUAACCGCAACGAUUGACGUUACUCGCAGAAGAAGCACCGGCUAACUCCGUGCCAGCAGCCGCGGUAAUACGGAGGGUGCAAGCGUUAAUCGGAAUUACUGGGCGUAAAGCGCACGCAGGCGGUCUGUCAAGUCGGAUGUGAAAUCCCCGGGCUCAACUUGGGAACUGCAUCCGAAACUGGCAGGCUAGAGUCUUGUAGAGGGGGGUAGAAUUCCAGGUGUAGCGGUGAAAUGCGUAGAGAUCUGGAGGAAUACCGGUGGCGAAGGCGGCCCCCUGGACAAAGACUGACGCUCAGGUGCGAAAGCGUGGGGAGCAAACA